AAGUCCCUUCGGGGACGUGUACAGCGGCGAACGGGUGAGUAACGCGUGAGAAUCUACCGUUUAGUGAAGAAUACUCUCGAGAAAUCGAGCUUAAUACUGCAUAAGUCCCUACGGGGAGAAAGGUGGCCUCUUUGCUACCGCUAAAUGAGGAGCUUGCGUACUAUUAGCUAGUUGGUGGGGUAAUGGCCUACCAAGGCGAUGAUGGUUAACCGGCCUGAGAGGGUGUUCGGUCACACUGGAACUUAGAUACGGUCCAGACUCCUACGGGAGGCAGCAGUGAGGAAUCUUGCACAAUGGGCGAAAGCCUGAUGCAGCGACGCCGCGUGGAGGAUGAAGGUUUUAGGA
rnacentral:rRNA from 1 species